GGGCUAUGAUACAAGGUGAUAUUUGGAAUUAACCUAGGGUAUUAGAAUGCCCUAUAUACGUUUGGAUUAAGAUCUUUAGGUAAUAUAUAAAAAAUAUAGCAAUCUUUAAUUCUUGAACUAGUUUUUAGGUUAAGUUAGACUAUUUUCCUAAUAUAGUAUUAGAGCUUAUAGUUGGCCCAAUAGAUAAAUUCCCACAAAAAUUGUUUCUUACUUAUGUGGCCCAUACAAAUGACAUGUCUUGUUGUAUUUACGAGAUGUUGGGCUUGAUCUGUUUCACGUUGGACCGUUUUUCACCUAUAUCUCGAAGAAGCCUAUUAAAAUAUCUCACAUCGAUUAGAAUUAAAAUUCUUGGACAAUAUAAAAGGAUAAGUUCUUAACUCUUAAGUUAUCUUUUGGGUUAAGUUAAGUCACAAUUUUAAUAUAGGGUUUUGUUCAUAUUGCGUCUCGGGU
rnacentral:sRNA from 1 species